ACGUAGGGUGCGAGCGUUAAUCGGAAUUACUGGGCGUAAAGCGUGCGCAGGCGGUUGUGUAAGUCAGGGGUGAAAUCCCACGGCUCAACCGGGGAACUGCCUUUGAUACUGCACAACUUGAAUCCGGGAGAGGGUGGCGGAAUUCCAGGUGUAGGAGUGAAAUCCGUAGAUAUCUGGAGGAACAUCAGUGGCGAAGGCGGCCACCUGGACCGGUAUUGACGCUGAGGUGCGAAAGCGUGGGGAGCAAACAG
rnacentral:rRNA from 1 species